UUGCUUUGACAGCAUAUAUACUAAAAGUGGAAUAAUACAAAGAAGAUUAGUAUGGCCCUGCAUUAGGAUGACAUGCAAAUUAGUGAAUCAUUUCAUCUUUAU